rnacentral:rRNA from 1 species
UCNGGCUUACCAUGCAAGUCGAGGGGCAGCAUGGUCUUAGCUUGCUAAGGCCGAUGGCGACCGGCGCACGGGUGAGUAACACGUAUCCAACCUGCCGUCUACUCUUGGACAGCCUUCUGAAAGGAAGAUUAAUACAAGAUGGCAUCAUGAGUCCGCAUGUUCACAUGAUUAAAGGUAUUCCGGUAGACGAUGGGGAUGCGUUCCAUUAGAUAGUAGGCGGGGUAACGGCCCACCUAGUCUUCGAUGGAUAGGGGUUCUGAGAGGAAGGUCCCCCACAUUGGAACUGAGACACGGUCCAAACUCCUACGGGAGGCAGCAGUGAGGAAUAUUGGUCAAUGGGCGAGAGCCUGAACCAGCCAAGUAGCGUGAAGGAUGACUGCCCUAUGGGUUGUAAACUUCUUUUAUAAAGGAAUAAAGUCGGGUAUGNAUACCCGUUUGCAUGUNCUUUAUGAAUAAGGAUCGGCUAACUCCGUGCCAGCAGCCGCGGUAAUACGGAGGAUCCGAGCGUUAUCCGGAUUUAUUGGGUUUAAAGGGAGCGUAGAUGGAUGUUUAAGUCAGUUGUGAAAGUUUGCGGCUCAACCGUAAAAUUGCAGUUGAUACUGGAUAUCUUGAGUGCAGUUGAGGCAGGCGGAAUUCGUGGUGUAGCGGUGAAAUGCUUAGAUAUCACGAAGAACUCCGAUUGCGAAGGCAGCCUGCUAAGCUGCAACUGACAUUGAGGCUCGAAAGUGUGGGUAUCAAACAGGAUUAGAUACCCUGGUAGUCCACACGGUAAACGAUGAAUACUCGCUGUUUGCGAUAUACGGCAAGCGGCCAAGCGAAAGCGUUAAGUAUUCCACCUGGGGAGUACGCCGGCAACGGUGAAACUCAAAGGAAUUGACGGGGGCCCGCACAAGCGGAGGAACAUGUGGUUUAAUUCGAUGAUACGCGAGGAACCUUACCCGGGCUUAAAUUGCAGAUGAAUUACGGUGAAAGCCGUAAGCCGCAAGGCAUCUGUGAAGGUGCUGCAUGGUUGUCGUCAGCUCGUGCCGUGAGGUGUCGGCUUAAGUGCCAUAACGAGCGCAACCCUUGUUGUCAGUUACUAACAGGUUCCGCUGAGGACUCUGACAAGACUGCCAUCGUAAGAUGUGAGGAAGGUGGGGAUGACGUCAAAUCAGCACGGCCCUUACGUCCGGGGCUACACACGUGUUACAAUGGGGGGUACAGAGGGCCGCUACCACGCGAGUGGAUGCCAAUCCCAAAAACCUCUCUCAGUUCGGACUGGAGUCUGCAACCCGACUCCACGAAGCUGGAUUCGCUAGUAAUCGCGCAUCAGCCACGGCGCGGUGAAUACGUUCCCGGGCCUUGUACACACCGCCCGUCAAGCCAUGGGAGCCGGGGGUACCUGAAGUGCGUAACCGCGAGAGCGCCUNAGUAAU